rnacentral:rRNA from 1 species
GACGAACGCUGGCGGCGUGCCUAAUACAUGCAAGUCGAACGGUUUAGUUCCAAGAGGCAAGUCUCUUGGAACUAAGCAGUGGCGGACGGGUGGGUAACACGUAGGCAACCUACCUGUUAAACCGGGAUAACCUCGGGUAACCGAAGCUAAACCCGUAUAAGCUCCUUUUUCGCAUGAAGGGGGAGUGAGAAGGUGCGACCUGAUGAGAGAUGGGCCUGCGGCGCAUUAGCAAGUAGGUAGGAUAACGGCCUACCUAGGCGAUGAUGCGUAGCCGACCUGCGAGGGCGUACGGCCAGACUGGGACUGAGAUACGGCCCAGACUCCUACGGGAGGCAGCAGUAGGGAAUCUUCGGCAAUGGGCGAAAGCCUGACCGAGCAACGCCGCGUGAGUGAGGAAGGCCUUCGGGUUGUAAAACUCUGUUGUUUGGGAAGAAGGGAAAGGGUAGGACCCUUAGGUGACGGUACCAAACGAGAAAGCCCCGGCUAACUACGUG